CGGGCCUUUUCUAACUUCAGUAUGUGCCGCUGAGCUGGAACACUGGUGGUGGAGUGAUUAGCAGAACUGCCUUCCAGUGGAGGUCCACUGACUUUGAGAUCCUUGAAGGGCAGCAUCAUGUCUGCAGUGCUCCCCACUAUGCUCAGCCAACUGUCAGCUCAAGAUCAAAGCAAAAUAAACCACCAACAUCAGGUCACUUCUAAGAUGGGGACACCUUCCAUACCCAUGAGCUACAACAAUGACCACCACUGUUUACAAUGGAGCUUCUGAGAUGAUGCAUUCCUACAAGUUUCUUAUGUGACUUCUUAUCCAAACGUGAAGGUAAUCUGUGUUGAUCACUAGUAACUCAUCCACCAUUUGUACCAUGUGGCCACCUAAGAGUUAGUCAAAACUGCAGUCAAGUUUAUCAGUAAUGUUGCAAGACUGCAACAUAGACUUCAUGGUGUCUUCACAGAAAGUAUUCAGAGGGAAGAAAGGUAAGUAUGCAAUUCCUCUUGGAAACUCUAACUCUCAUCCCACUUCAGUUGGCUUUAAGUAAUGCUUGGAAACAACUGUGCAUAGAAUAAAUUGUGGCCAUCUUGUUCUGUGAAAUAUGUGAUCUGUCUGUAUCCCUACUGUCUCUCAAUUUAGGUAAAACAUGUAGUCUUAAAUGUCAGUCUCCACUUUGGAGAACUGAUCUCAUAGGGAUGACCUUGCUUUAGCAAAGGAAUAACUUGUCAAUUCCUGAGCAUUGUCAGCAUCUGUGUGCACAUUACCUUCAUGAUGUUUGGAAGUCAAGACAACGUAUUUGGCACCAGAGGCCUGAAGAAUAUCUGCCCACUGAUUUGCAUUAAAGAAUUUUGCUGUAAAUAGUGGUGCAAAAUCUUCAUAUUUAAAAUCAGGAGGGUAAUUAUCUUUCAUAAAUUUCACAAACUUUGGUCUCUUUUCCUUUUGCCAGUACCACCUAUGGGAAGAAGAGCAGUAGCACAUAAACAACACAAACAUAACCAUUUGAAAUGAUUGCCCUGGAUCUCUCUAGUAUCUCCCAGUUCCUCAAAAAUUAUCCAGAUCCUCUUGGCUUCCCCAUCAACUUCCCCGUUGACUUUGUAUUAAGAAAAGCUGAUGUAAACCAAACUCCCCUCUCAUUUUUCCUCUAUUUCCACUGUGAAAUCCUCUCAGCUCUGAAAUUAAAGCAUUCUGGACAACCUGG